rnacentral:lncRNA from 1 species
CCAUGCCUUUGCUCCAACACCUGGUUCCCACUAUAGGGCCAACCCAAAUCAAACUGUGCUGGCACAGAUAUUUAAUUUUCACAUUGUCCUUUCUAGCAUGGUUCUAACAGCUAUGGUGGAUGCAUAACCAGACCAGGCCAGUACAACACAGCAUCGUUUAGCUCUGUAGUAUGAAAGGGUAUUGAGAAACCUCUUAGUGAGUCUUACCCAUGGUUCUCUCCUUGGUUCUGCAUAUCCUUGUUUACAUGUCGUCCCACUGGGCACAGACGUCAAUUCAGCAUCUAUUACACGUUGGUUCAACGUAAUUUCAUUGAAAUGACGUGGAAACAACAUUGAUUCAACCAGUGUGGGCCCAGUGGGAUGUUGUCACUGUUACAGUUAUAGAGAUGAUAGGUUCAUCGUCCUUAGGAUACAAUUUACCCAUUCAUGUGCCAUAACGUGUAAGUGACAUAGAUGUCUUCUCUUAAUUUUGCAUAGAGUUGUCACUCAAGACAAAAUGAAGUACUGUACCCUAGGGAACAGUGGAGGCUGCUGAGGGGAGGACGGCUCAUAACGGAUGGAACGGAGCAAAUGGAAUGGCUUAAACACAUGGAAAACAUUUGAUACCAUUCCACCAAUUCCGCUACAGCCAUUACCACAAUUCCGACCCCCUUCAUCCAUUACCACGAGCCCUUCCUCCCCAAUUAAGGUGCCACCAACCUCCUGUGCUAAGGAAAUGUGAUUGUGUUGUGGGUUGUCCACCCUUCAACUGUAGCCCCUGUUGCCUUCCACCAGAGGACACUAUUUUUCUGUCAUGUCUCCUCUCCUCUCCACUCACUGUCCAAUUGCUGUCCAUUGCUCACUCGUUUUAAUGGUCGCCACUAGUUACCACAGCCACAAAGUCAGAAAACCCGCAUAUUUCUAAAAUGUAUCUUCUUAAAAUGUGAUUUCAACCCGAACCUUAACCACCCUGCUAAACGUAUGCCUAACCCUAACCUUAAGCACAUUUUUGUUUUCAUACAUUUUUACGAUAGCCAAUUUUGACUUUUUGGCUGUGGUAACUAGUGGAAACCAUUUUUUUUCCGUUCCCUCUUCAAAUUAAUGACGUGGUGCUUAACCUUGGUAAACCUUUUGUUUUACAUUAAACUAUAUCUCUACAGCU